rnacentral:lncRNA from 1 species
UCUCAACCUCAUUCUCAGCACCAGAUGUAGUGCCUGGAGCAUCUGAAGAGGGACUAAGAGAUUCCGUCCUCACCCCAGCUCUAAAGAUGCCUCCACCAUGAGAAAGAGACAGGGAGUCCCUGACACUUUCUGCUCCCACCUUGGAAGACAGGGGAGGAGGAAGGCUCCAGCGUCUUCCAUCACUGCUGCAGACACCAACCAACCCCCUGCCCUUCUCCCUGCUCCUCUGCUUCAACUCUCUCCUGGGCCCCCACCCCAAACAGCCCUCUGUUCCGCUUUAGAUGUUAGCUGCACUUCACCUGUAAAACACCUUUCUUUGCCAAAUUUGUCAAAAAUUUUGGCAUAGUGUUUGCAUAAAUUUGCAGGUAGGAUUCCAGAGACCCUGACUCCGAUGGUGUAAGAGAAAAAAUCAUGCCUGCACUUGCAGUCAAAGGAGGCUUUCAGGAGGGCACACUGGAUUUGCUACACAGGGCUGGGAGAGGCACUCAGUUUGUGAGGCUGGGAUGCCCUGACAGGAGCUUCCCCUCGAUCGAGGAAAUCGGAACUUUUUCAAUGUUGGCUUCAAAUCGUGGCUAAUAGGCAGAAAAAAAGCUCUUCUCACCAUGAGGGAAGACUGGGGAGGUGGGAAGGGGGACAGGGCCCAUCUAUUCCAUCCAAGAGGGGUCAAGGAAGGACAGUGGCAAGCUCAAGUCUGGAGCUGUUUCCUCCCCAUAGUGAAAGUCUGGUAACUUUACCCAGAAGUUCUGAUUUUUCUAGUUAGCCAAACAGGGCUCUGAUUUCCAAGAUUAGGUUAAAUCCAGAAGAGUUUGGGGGAUGAAGGAAUCUGGAUGAACAAUGGGAGGUGGAACCAUUGCCCCACCAUCAGCAACACCUUAACAGGAACAAACUCCUCUGCCCACUCGUCAUAUCCACAGUUUCAGAGAAGAGAAUGUCCCAGCUAGAAAAGCAAGUGGACAAGUGCCAACCCGAUGAGGCCACUGAAUUAUGCAGAAAGAUGACGCACAGAGAAGUGGCAGCCUGCUCCAGUUCCCGUAAUUAAAGAUUACAGUCAGGAUUGGAGCCCGAGGUCCUAACACCCAGUGCUCUCUCCACACUACCGUGGUGCCCGACUCAUACUUCUGCCACGACCACCCUCUCCAUUUCUGGCCCUGUUUGAAACCCCUAAUUCUCACUGAAAACAAUAAAUCCUCCAAAAUUAAGACAACACUUUCACACACAGUAGAGCAAAUGGGUGGAUGAGAACAAAUUUAUCCACAGCAGAGACAAUACAGGCACUCUGUGGUUCCCGUUAGGUUAAAGUUGAGCCCCCUAGAGACACCCCCACCUUUGUUUCUCAUGUGAACCCCUCUGAGUCAAAUAGUAACAACAGCAGUUGCUGUGAAUGGAAGUUAUAACAUUGAACUCCUGACUCUUGAAAAGUGUACAUUGUAUAGUGAACACUGUAACAGUGAGCCAGCAAAGGAGUUUUUCUGCUGCUGAGUCCAUCAGGAAAGUCACUGGGAUGUAAGCUGAGAAAGGGAGAGGGUGAGGUUUCAGAGAAAUAAGGGAGUCAUUUAAAAAUACGUUUGUUUAGUUUGUUUUUAACGGUUACAGAACAAUAGACAAUAGAGCCAGGUGUCUCAGUGACAUCUCUCAAGCUUUCCCAAGGUGUAACAUGACUGACAGCCCAUUCUGUUGAGACCACCGGUACCCAGGAGAGACAGGGAGAGAAAGAGACCACCUAGAAUAGUGUCAUCUGUGCAAAUAAGAACAUUAAAACAGAUGGGUGGAGGGAGCCAAUGAAUUCAAGACUUAUUCAAGUUUAAGUGAAAACAAGUCAUACAAAGUUGAGAUAAAAUAUAGAACAGAGUUAGAUUUAUUUUUACUGCUUUUAUUAUCUAGGUCACAAAAAAUAUAAAUGAAAUGUAAACUACACAUCCAAAGGUAUGCAUGAUACAUAAAAUUAACUGGCAUGUGGCCAACUGUGAUUUUCUUGCAAAUAUUUUCCUUAGGGGUUAAUGUUUUUAAAAUACAUCUUGCAAAUCUAUGUGAAAAACUUUAACAUCCAGUGGAAAUGUGGACAGUGUUCUUGAACAGAAAAUCACAGAAAUUAAAAUAUUGUUGAAAGUUAAAUGUUCCCCUUGUAAAAAAGGAAAGAAAAAAUAAAAAGAAAUGACCAUCAAUUUUAAAAGGACAUUUAAUGCCAAGAAAGUAAUCCCUGAAUCCCAAAGGGCAAAGAACAUCCCCAUAAAUAGAAUAUACUUAGCUCUAUGAAACUCACCACUCUGUUCUUAUUUUUCUCAUUUCACUGCUAACCAGUGACUGAAGUCAGUCUGGGUCACUAUUCGAACUACUGACCUAGAAAGUUCUGAGUGCAUAGAUAAGUAAACCUGUGCAAAUGGACGGAGGGGUCCUAAUCCACAUAAACACCCAGGAUUGCUGGGAUAGCAAAGGAAUUUGUCAUCAGUGCAUUUGUCUGGUGGCUCUGAGGCCUCGUGGGAGAAACAGAAGACAUUGGGACUACCCGCCCCACUUCUGGACCCUAGGACGAAGAGGCUCUAUCAAAAGACCUUGUUGAUAUCAUGGCGGGAAGGGAAGCUGCCCAUGAAAGCAGGUGUCAUGAGAAGAACACUCUGCCCUGGAGGGCAGCAAGCUGUCAAGGCUGACGGCCCGACCCCACGUGCCCUAAGGAGAACUGCCAGUGGCUCUGGUCACUUCACACAGGUUGUGGCAGUGGCUGCAGCCCACCAGCCACAUGGGCGACAGCAGGGUCCCUGAAACCGCGAAUGACUAAACGGGAGACGGUCCUUGCAGGAGGACCUUGCAUAAGACCCUCUCCACCAGAGCAGCCUCCCUCCACCUCUCUGAACACAAUGCCCCCAUCUAGGAUAAGCCAGAUGCCUCACAGGUGCGCUGGCAGCUCACAGAGCAGAAGCAGGAGGCUCUGAGGCUGCCCAGGACUUCCCCAGGCUCCCCACUCGGAGGUGGCUGUGCCUUUUUCUGCAGGAAUCGUAGACUCAGGGCAAGCUGGAUCUGCAUUUCUCCAAGGACUUCCUCCUUGGGACCCCAGACCCCAUAAGAGUCCUGUUCUUCAAUUACAGCAGUGAGAAUUCUGGCAAGAUGAAGACUCCCAAACCCCAAGUUACUGCUCGAGCUAACUGGGCCCUCGCCGUGUGUCAGGCCCUGCGUUAGAAGCACACACUGUACAUCACCUCAUUCCAUCACCGCAUGUGACACCGUGAGCUGUCUGCUGCUCUCAUUUUGCAGUUGAAGGCCUUGAGGCUAGACGACCUUAGAGAACAUCCCUAAGGUCACACAGUCAGUGGUCAAGCUGGGAUUCAGGCCCAGGUCUGCCUACACCAAAAGCCCCCGUGUUAGGUAUACUACACUCCCAGAAAGAGUAGCUGAAUGCAAUAUAUAUAUAUAUAUAUAUAUAUAUAUAGCCUGAAUGCACACCAGAAAGGGAAUGAUUACAUAAAUUUUAAGAUACCCACAUGGACACAAAGAAGGGAACAGACACUGAGGCCUACUUGAGGGUAGAGGGUGGGAGGACGAUGAGGAUUCAAAAACUGCUUAUCGAGCACUAUGCUUUUUACCCGGGGGAUAAAGUGAUCUGUACACCAAACCCCUAGGACGCACAAUGUACCUAUAUAACAAACCUGCACAUGUACCCCUGAGCCUAAAAUAAAAGUUUAAAAUAAAAUAAAAUAUAUAAAACUAAAUUGUACAAUACCCAUACUAUGUAACUGUAUGUAGCUAUUAUAAAUAAAUCAGCUAGAUUUACUUGUAUUAACCUAGAAACUUUCUAUGUCAU